CACCCACCAGUGGCAUGUGGCCCCCCGGAAGGUUGCCAAGAACGGAAUGCGGCCCUUGAGAUGAAAAAGUGUUUCUGCAUCCCGCACUAGGGCACCUGGCAGAGCGCCCCCUGGCCUAUCGUUCUCCAGCCUAGGAUGACUUGGCAUACAGACAGGUAAGGUGGGAAAAGACGCCCCCAUUGGUCUCUACGGCAACCAAGCCCGCUCUUUGGACAUGUAAAUGGCAGUACUUCAGCGGCCAGCUAAAGCUGGAAUCUUGC